AAACCAACAGGGAUUGCCUUAGUAACGGCGAGUGAAGCGGCAACAGCUCAAAUUUGAAAUCUGGCCCCAGGCCCGAGUUGUAAUUUGCGAGGAUGCUUUUGGCGCGGUGCCUUCCGAGUUCCCUGGAACGGGACGCCAUAGAGGGUGAGAGCCCCGUCUGGUUGGAUACCAAGCCUUUGUAAAGCUCCUUCGACGAGUCGAGUAGUUUGGGAAUGCUGCUCUAAAUGGGAGGUAUAUGUCUUCUAAAGCUAAAUACCGGCCAGAGACCGAUAGCGCACAAGUAGAGUGAUCGAAAGAUGAAAAGCACUUUGGAAAGAGAGUUAAACAGCACGUGAAAUUGUUAAAAGGGAAGCGUUUAUGACCAGACUUGGGCCGGUUAAUCAUCCAGCGUUCUCGCUGGUGCACUUUGCCGGUCCAGGCCAGCAUCAGUUCGCUGCGGGGGAUAAAGGCGUCGGGAAUGUGGCUCCUCCGGAGUGUUAUAGCCCUUCGCGCAAUACCCUGCGGUGGACUGAGGUUCGCGCAUCUGCAAGGAUGCUGGCGUAAUGGUCAUCAACGACCCGUCUUGAAACACGGACCAAGGAGUCGUCUUCGUAUGCGAGUGUUCGGGUGUAAAACCCCUACGCGUAAUGAAAGUGAACGCAGGUGAGAGCUUCGGCGCAUCAUCGACCGAUCCUGAUGUUCUCGGAUGGAUUUGAGUAAGAGCAUACGGGGCCGGACCCGAAAGAAGGUGAACUAUGCCUGUAUAGGGUGAAGCCAGAGGAAACUCUGGUGGAGGCUCGCAGCGGUUCUGACGUGCAAAUCGAUCGUCAAAUAUGGGCAUGGGGGCGAAAGACUAAUCGAACCUUCUAGUAGCUGGUUUCCGCCGAAGUUUCCCUCAGGAUAGCAGUGUUGAACUCAGUUUUAUGAGGUAAAGCGAAUGAUUAGGGACCCGGGGGCGCUAUUUAGCCUUCAUCCAUUCUCAAACUUUAAAUAUGUAAGAAGCCCUUGUUGCUUAAUUGAACGUGGGCAUUCGAAUGUAUCAACACUAGUGGGCCAUUUUUGGUAAGCAGAACUGGCGAUGCGGGAUGAACCGAACGCGAGGUUAAGGUGCCGGAGUAGACGCUCAUCAGACACCACAAAAGGUGUUAGUACAUUAUGACAAUAGGACGGUGGCCAUGGAAGUCGGAAUCCGCUAAGGACUGUGUAACAACUCACCUAUCGAAUGUACUAGCCCUGAAAAUGGAUGGCGCUCAAGCGUCUCACCCAUACCUCGCCCUCAGGGUAGAAACGAUGCCCUGAGGAGUAGGCGGACGUGGAG
rnacentral:rRNA from 1 species